rnacentral:rRNA from 1 species
UACGUAGGGGGCUAGCGUUGUCCGGAAUCAUUGGGCGUAAAGCGCGCGUAGGCGGCCAGAUAAGUCCGGUGUGAAAGUCACAGGCUCAACCUGUGAAUGCCGCUGGAAACUGUCUGGCUAGAGUCCGGAAGGGGCGAGUGGAAUUCCUGGUGUAGCGGUGAAAUGCGUAGAUAUCUGGAGGAACACCGGUGGCGAAGGCGACAUCCUGGACCGGUAUUGACGCUGAGGCGCGAAAGCCAGGGGAGCAAACGGG